CACCAAUAGAUAUGCAAUAACAUUUUAGUUGUUUUCAGUUUAUUAUAAAAUCUUCAAACACAUCAAAGUUUUCAGAGAGAAUCGCUUAAAGCUGAGGAGUCCGACCUAAAAAGGCUAAAAUAACAUGUGGGGAAGUGAUGUAGUUGGCAGCUCGUCGUUUCACAGUAAUGCCUGAGGGGCCAAAAGUCCAGCUGCAGGGAUCAUCAGCAGGGACCCAGAGCAUCUUUAAACACUUCAUGCAGUUUAUUUCAGCUCAGGAACAAGAAAUGAUUGACAACACACUCAAGACAACUGCAAAUGCAACAGAUGAGAAUGAAAGAUUUAAAGCAGGAAACUGUGAAUUCAGCGGUCUGUCUCCCUAACAGCCAAUAAAACGUUUGAGAGGAUCGCAGCGUUCAGAGACAUUCAUCACCCCAGUGCCGAUUCACAGAAACGGACUGAGAACGGCUGAAAACCAGAAUGGCUCCGGAAAGAACAGCAUCGUUCAGUCGGCGUGACGUGGCGGCUGUUGGGGACGGUUGCAGUUUGCAGUUCAGUUCAUUCAGUUCAGUUCAAUUUAAUUCAGUUCCUGAUCAGGGGAUAUGGUUCCCAUGGCAACGAGCUCUGAGACCUCAGUUUCAGUUUGACUCCAAAUCCACAAUUUGGGCAUCGUAUUAAAAUGUGGAAUUGAAUAGAUUUGAUCAUCUGCAGGA